CACCUGUUUAUCAAAAACAUGUCUUAUUGAAAAUAAUUUUAAGUCUAAUCUGCCCAAUGAAAAUUUUAAUGGCUGCAGUAUCAAUAACUGUACAAAGGUAGCAUAAUAAUUAGUUUUUUAAUUAAAAACUAGAAUGAAAGAUUAAAUGAAAUAUAAACUUUAUAAAUAAAAUAAAAAUUAAAAUUAAAUUUUAAGUUAAAAUUCUUAAAUAUAAUUAAAAGACGAGAAGACCCUUUAGAAUUUUAUAUUAAUUUAAAUUAAAAUUAAAAUAUUAUUUAUAUAAAUUUAAACUAAUAUUUAAUUGGGGUAAUUUUUUAAUUUAAUAAACUUUAAAAUAAUAAAACAUUAAUUUAUGAAUUUAUAAACCUAAAAUUUAGAAUUUUAAAAUAAAUUACCUUAGGGAUAACAGCGUAAUUUUUUUUGAAAGUUCACAUUUAUAAAAAAGAUUGCGACCUCGAUGUUGAAUUAAGAUUAAAUUAAAAGCAAAAAUUUAAUAAUUUAAGUCUGUUCGACUUUUAAAAUCU
rnacentral:rRNA from 1 species